rnacentral:misc_RNA from 1 species
ACGAAUGCGGCUGAAGUGGCUCCCUGUCAGGCUCAGGAGACGUCGUGGCGGCCGGCUGGCGGCCCGACGACUCUGCACUUCUGCGGGGAGCCGGCCAACGGCAGUCGUUCCCGGCCCAGGAGGGCGYCGUGGGUAGGUGACUCCGCGUUCGCGCGGGGAGCUUAUAGCCCGGCGCCUGGACGUUCCGGGGGCGACUGAGGAGAGUUGCGAGUUUCGCACGUUGCAGCGCAGGCCCCCUAGGGGCUGGGCCGCUUCCUGCUCGGCUGGCUUCCGGGGUGGCCACUGCGUGCAGUGGUCGCCGACGGCUCUUGCCUGGUCGGGCGGAUGGUCGGUCGCACCUU